rnacentral:lncRNA from 1 species
GUGAUUUUCGUGCCUCAGCCACCCGUCUAGCUAGGAUUACAGAUGUGCGCCACUACGCCCAGCUAACAAAAAAUUUUUUUUAGCUAGCCAGGUGUGGUAGCGCACACCUAAAGUCCCAGCUACUUGGGAGGCUGAAAUGGGAGGAUCACUUCAGCCUGGGAGGCUGACAGUGCAGUGAGCUUUGAUUGCACCACUGCACUACAGCCUGAGUGACAAAGCAAAAACCCUGUCAAAAAUAAUAAUAACACAACGUAACUUUCCACAUUCAAGUCUACUCAACAAAGAAGCCCAAAGAAUCUAAAAUUCCUGUUUUCGAUCUUUCUUUUCUCAUAGGGGUCAGGGUGGUGUAUGUCAGUGGAGAAAAACCGAAAGGAGGUAUGAUGAUCUUCGUACACUGUACAAAAACUUACCCACUUGAAGGAUCUAAGGCAAUAGCUCUGGGUUGAUCCAACUCUUGCCAAAAUAAAACUUUUCGUAAAGAUCCAUCUAAAUUAGAAACUUCAAUCCGAUUAGUUUCAGAAUCACUCCAGUAUAUCAAGCCAUGACUAAACACAAAGUCCACCGCAGCUGCAUCCUCCAAGCCUCCAACUACAAUCGUAGCAUUCUCUUUGCCAUUUGUAGCAUCAACCAAUCGCAAGUCCCGUCUGUUUGCAUAAAGCAACAAAGGGGCCGCUAGAACAAAAAAAGAAAAAUAUGUAAGUGAAAAGGAAGAAAACGUAUUGGUUCUUAUAAACUGCGUUUCAAAUCGGUUUAAGUGAGCAAAGACUGUCGAAAAUAAGAAAAGAAUAAAUAAAUCAUUAGGAGACCAUCUAAACUUCACACACAAAAUAUUAUUUUUGCAGCAUUUAAAAAAUAAGACAUAGGAAAUGGGGGGAACUAUUUCCACCACGAUAGUCUUUUCUUGUUAAAAUAACUCAGAUAAAAUUUUAAAGCCUGGCUAUACCAAGAAUUGGCAAUAAUAUGGAGCUACUGGAACACUCAUACUCUACUGGGGUGAAUGUAAAAUGGUACAGCCACUUGGGAAAACAGUUUGGCAGUUUCCUAAAAGGUUAAACAUACAACCUACUAUACAAUCCAAGGCAAUAGCUAGAUACUGUUUAUUCCACAUCUAGGUAUUUACUCAAGAGAAACAAAAACAUAUGUCAAUACAAAGACUUGUAUGCAAAUGCUCAUACCAAUUUAUUUGUAAUAACCCAAACUGGAAUCAACCCAAAUGUCAUCAACAGGCUAAUGGAUAAAAAACUGUGAUACUGCCAUACAACAGAAAAUAAUGAACCCUUUGUACAUGAAAAAUGGGUGGAUCUCAAAAUAAUUCAGAAUGAAAGAAGCCAGGCCAAAACAAAGGUAUAUAUUGCAUGACUCUCAUCUAUAUAAACUUUUACAAAAGGCAAACUUUUGUAAAAACACAAAGCAGAUCAAUGGCUGUCUCAAAAUAGGGAAAGAAGGUGCAAAAGAAUGAGGGGGAGGAUUAAAAAUGGGCAUGAGCAAACUUUUGCAGGUGAUGAGCUAUAUUAUCAAUAAUGAUGGUUUCGGAGGUGUAAACAUGUCAAAACUUAUUAAAUUUUACACUUAACAUAAGCAAAAUUUAUUGUCUAUCAAUUAUACCUUAAUAAAACUGUUACAGUUUGACAGAAAUAGUUCUUAGUAAAGCUACUUUAUUCUGUUCUAUAUUACUAUUAAAAUGACCUUUGAAAAGACCCGAAACUAAAUAUAAAGCCAAUCUUACAGAAAUAACAUUUAACUUUGAGAAAGUUGAAGCUGUUGGGAGUGAGGUAGUAUAAAUUCCAUGUUUUUUGGUUUUUAUUAAAUAUCUAUUCCAAGCUUCUGACAUUUACUUUCCUAGUAUCAAGCAACAAUUAAAAAUCUAGAGCACUACUGUCCUACAGAACUUUCUGUGAUGAUGGAAAUGUCCUCUCCACUGCAUAACACAGUACCACCAGUCACACGCAGCUAUGGAGCGCUUAAAAUGUGGCUAGUGUGACUACAAAAUUAAAUUUUUAAUUUUAUAUAAACUUUUUUUUUUUUUUUUUUUUUUUGAGACAGAGUUUUGCUCUUGUUGCCCAGGCUGGAGUGCAAUGGCACGAUCUCAGCUCACUGCAGCCUCCGCCUCCCAGGUUCAAGCAAUUCUCCUGCCUCAGCCUCCUGAGUAGUUGGGAUUACAGGUGCCCACCACUAUGGGUCCGGCUAAUUUUUUGUAUUUUUACUAGAGGUGGGGUUUCGCCAUGUUGACCAGGCUGGUCUUGAACUCCUGGCCUCCGGUGAUCCACCCGCCAGGGCCUCCCAAAGUGCUUGGGAUUACAGGCGUGAGCCACUGCGCCCGGCCCCAAUUUUAUAUAAUCUUAAUUCAUUCCAAUUUAUAUAGACAAGUGUGGCUAGUGGUAGUAUUGGAUAGCACACAUCUAGAGGCUGGAAUGCAGAACAUAAAUGAGGCAGCAAAAGUAAGACCAAGCCAGGCACGGUGGCUCACGCCUGUAAUCCCAGCACUUUGGUUAAGCCCGGGAGUUCAAGACCAGCCUUGGCAACACAUGGAAACCCCAUCUCUACAAAAAAAUUAAUUUAAAAAAGUAGCCAGGCAUAGUGGUGCACGCCUGUAGUCCUAGGUACUCAGGAGACUAAAAUGGGAGGGUCACUUGAGCCCAGGAAUUUAAGGCUGCAGUGAGCCUGGGUGACAGAGGGAGACCCUGUCUCAAAAAAAAAAAAAAGAGUGAGUUAUGAUACAAUUAUCUACAUGAUCUUCUUUCAUAAUUACUUACUAAGGGUCUACAACUGUGUCAUCUGAAGCCAAGCCCAACUACCAUUUAGAAGUAACGAUUCCCCUUUUCAAGAAAUUACUCCAAUCUCAAAAAAGUGUAAGAAAAAAGUGAUGUUUACACUAUAGAUUGUGUCUGUCAAAUAGUUAUAAAUGUAUACUAUUUUCAUCUAUAAGUACAACAUAAACUUCCCUAACUAAGCUUAAAUCCAACUUUCUUAGUCAAAAACAAACUGGCAGACAGCUUUUUUAAAAAGUGGCUAACCAAUCUUUCUGCUUAUUCUGUGUAUCUGCUGCAGCUAUCAGCAAAUUCAUAAACUUCCCUAACAGAGUCACUUUUAAUUCAUUUCUGGCCUUCACACAUCACACUGAUUUAUCAGUCCCCACAGAGCCCACUAUACUGAGUCUCUCAUACUAUGGGCCAAAUAUAAACAUCAGAAAAAAGGUCCCUACUAGUGAAGGAUACAAUGCUAAGUGCUGCAUAAGGCUAAGGAAUACCCACGAAACACUUAAAAUUGAAAAUUCAAGAGUGAUAAUCAUCUAAUAUUUACUGGGCACCUUCUUUAUGGCACUAUCUUGGAAAACUAUAUCAAAGCUAUAGGACAUUAGGUGGCAGCCAAAUGUCUUUCAUUGCUUUCAAGUCAAACUUUAACACUUCUACGUGUACUGAAUAUUUUUGGUCUACAAAAUCCAAAAACGCUUUCUGGUCAGUUAAGGCCUCACAAGCAUUCUGAGUCUCUUCUCCCUCCUGAAAACGGGUGAAGGAGGCAAAGUUAAUCUUUUUUAAGUUAGCAAUACUGGUUACAAUUGAGGAUUUGUAAAGGACUGUACAUAAAUCUGCUGCACAUAAACCACACUAUUGAAAGGAAAUCCCAGGGUUCAUCCUGUCCAACCACCCUUCUGAUGCUUGAAUACUUUCUAUUACAUUGUCACCAGUAUCUGUUCAGCAACAUAUUAAAUGGGAUAUCUGAUAGGUAUAAUUUGAUUUGUAACAUUGUUUUUAUCUACCAAACAGAUACACUGGAACCACAUACUUGCUCCCUGGAACAUGCCAGUAUCUUCCAUUCCAGAGAGCUUACUUUCUGACUGCCUAGUAUUCAGAUAACCCAAAUAAUCACCAUCACUUCUCUUCAGUGGAACACUCACAGUGCUCAGGAAUCCUUGUUUUCCUUUAUUAAACUCCUGGGAAACUUUCUCUACCAGCCUUUCUAAGCCUUUUCUACUUUUAAAGACUAAUUUCCAUGCCCUGAAUCCUUUAUCCUCAGAUCAUCUCAUAAAACAAUCUCAGUGAAGCAGGAUACAAGGUAAAUGUCAUACAUCCCCAACAUCUUAAUUUAUACCUCUCAAAAUUUUCUCUCCACCCAUCUUCCCUUACCUUGUCCUCAGUCUCAAAUGAGAAGAUGGCCUUCCUCCUAAGGCUAAAGCAAUACUUUCGGUUCAGCCUCCUUACCUCCUCUCUACAACUUCGCUCUAUCAAUUGUUCUGUAUUUCUCGUAUUUUCAAUGGUUUACGCCAGGUUCCUUGCUAUUGUUUUGUUUUAAUAACCCUAACCUUGCUACCAUCAGAAUAAUAAUUAUAUUUCUACUAACUGCAAAAUCUUAUAACAUUGGUAUAUAUACUUCACACUACCAUUCAUUAGCUAUUACUCUUUUAUCUAACUUCCUAUCCAUCACUCAACUGCAAGUGCUUCCUCUAAAUCUUUAUAACCAAAUCCAGUGGUCUUUUCUCAGUCUUUACUCUUUUUUUUUUUUU